rnacentral:rRNA from 1 species
AGAGCGAACGCUGGCGGCAGGCCUAACACAUGCAAGUCGAGCGCCCGUAGCAAUACGGGAGCGGCAGACGGGAGAGUAACACGUGGGAACGUACCCUUCAGUUCGGAAUAACCCAGGGAAACUUGGACUAAUACCGAAUACGUCCGUAAGGAGAAAGAUUUAUCGCUGAAGGAUCGGCCCGCGUCUGAUUAGCUUGUUGGUGAGGUAACGGCUCACCAAGGCGACGAUCAGUAGCUGGUCUGAGAGGAUGAUCAGCCUCACUGGGACUGAGACACGGCCCAGACUCCUACGGGAGGCAGCAGUGGGGAAUAUUGGACAAUGGGCGCAAGCCUGAUCCAGCCAUGCCGCGUGGAUGAUGAAGGCCCUAGGUUGUAAAGUCCUUUCGACGGGAAGAUAAUGACGGUACCCGUAGAAGAAGCCCCGGCUAACUUCGUGCCAGCAGCCGC